CUUAGCUACCUGUCAAUCAUUGUUAUAAGCUCCGCCCUUUACACCUGGCAGUCAGUAUAGAGAGAGCCACCUCCGUCUUAGCUCCCUGUCAAUCAUUGUUAUAAGCUCCGCCCUUUACACCCGGCAGUCAGUAUAGAGAGAGCCACCUCCGUCUUAGCUCCCUGUUAAUCAUUGUUAUAAGCUCCGCCCUUUACACCCGGCAGUCAGUAUAGAGAGAGCCGCCUCCAUCUUAG